GGUGAGGUAGUUCAGUAGUACAGCGCUUGUCCAAAAAGCCUAAAGCCCUGGGUUCAGUCCCCAGCAUCACCA
rnacentral:tRNA from 1 species